rnacentral:lncRNA from 1 species
ACUUCAUACAAACCCUUGUGGAAUUUGGCAUGUGAACGGGUACACAUGGGUUCUUGGUUGAAGUGUGGUGUUAGGGACCACAGAAGGUGGAAAACAAAACAGUUAACGAUUUAAACACCACAGUUAUGAUCAUAACUCCAAUAUGAUCACAGAUACACGGAGGCGGGCGCGCGCGCGCACACACACACACACAGGUGUAUCAGAUUACUUUGUAGCUACCGUUAUUUUCUUGCAAUACGACUUGAGACGUUGAAGAAUUCCAGCUUUGCCGAGUGGACUCGGGUCGUCUUUGUGUUGUCCACUGUACCUUUGCUUUCCCAUUAAAUGUCAUUGUUAUGGAACUGAACUUUGUUUUCUUCGAAAGAUGAAAAUAAACCUGACCUGUCAUCGUCUCCGCUCGAGAAAGUCACUCUCGGAUUUAAAGCGUUAAAAUGUAUAGUACUUUUUUUUAUUUAAGUUUAUCCAAAUAUUUAGCACAAUUAAAAAUAUAAAUUGCUAGAGGCUCUAUGUUUUAGUUCAUUGUAACAAAAAUUAAAAAUGUUGAAUUGUCUCACGAAGAAAAAGCAACAAUUAACGUUACAGUGCUGGGUGUCGACAGUUUAGAUCAGACAGGGAGGGGCGUGUCGUGGUUCUUCUUGAAUGGGAAUUUUAACCCGUUCACUCAAUCAAUUUAUAUCCAAAAACGUGUAACAAGUGCCAUCCCACGGGUUAGUUAGUAAUGGCGAUUUCGUUGAGAGUAUCAUGAUUUAGAGAUGCAGACACAUUUAUUAAGGUCGAUUCACUAACAAUUACAGCCGAGUACAAAUAGCCACAGCGUAAGUUAGAGCGAACUCUAACUGUUAACCAUAGCUAGCUCAGUUUUUCCAUCCUUCAAAACAUCAUUCGUUCCAUCGAGAGCAGCCGAGUGCAUUCUCAGACCAACCAGGAGGUGACAGACCACAGUGUCCAGCUCCAGCCCAGCAGUAAUGGCUCCCCGUACCACUGGUGCUGCUUCUCCCAGCCCUCAGGUCAGAGAGAACCCCCCUCCCAGGCAGGGCAGGACUCGCCGGGCCCGUGGAGGAGGAGGAGGCGGCAACAGCCGCCGCAGCCUCCGCUUCAGUGUCAUGCUAAUGACGGUAAGACGCAUGGUUACCAGCCACGCCAGCCUGGUCAGACGCUUACUCCCCAUCCUGUCCUCCAUGUGCUCUAGCCUGGAACGCAUUGCCGUGGCAGCGGAGGGGUACACCACCACCAAUACUCGCUCCACCAACGCAAAUGCUCCCUCUAUUGGGUCUUCCUCCACUCGUCCUGCCUCCACCACCCCAGCCACUGCUAGCAGUACGCCCUCUAACCCAGCCAAUCCACCCAGGGCACUCUCCACCACCACCUCCCAGAUCCGCAGUCGUACUCGCACAACCGGCACCCGUCGAUCUCUCAUCCGAGCCCGGACCAACCGCAGAAUGGGCCUGUAUCAUUGAGAGCCAUCUGUCCAGACGAGGCUCCCUCCGUGAGAGGGACAGAUAAGAGCACUAAGGAAUGAGAGACUCAGAUGGGGUUUCUGUUUGCUAUGUUGCCUACCUUGUUUUUGGUGACCUGUUCCUUGGUUUGUUUUAAUAAAUGCCACCUAUGAAUGUAGAUGGGUUUUGUUGACCGGCUAGCAUUGCUGGCUGCAUGUACAGUAUUAUCUGUGCCCAGUGACGUUUAUUUUUUGUGAAAUGUACAGAUUCAUUACCCUUAUAGUACAUUUAAUUUUCAUGUGGGUUCAAAGUGGUUCUACUCCAUUUCCUUUUCCUGAUGAUAUUUGAAUUGAUGGUGUUUUAUAUUGUUAGCUAAAAUCAGUGUUUCCCUUAGCCUAAUUAAUAAUUGCAGACUAUAUUCCUUAAUGGUUAAUGAUUUUGUUUGGUCCAGUGAAAGCACUGACUCUGUAUUUGCAGUAAUAAUAUGUAAUUCUAAGGCAUUGGUUAUUUGAUGCUGUGGCACCGGUUCUUUACAAAUUACAUUAGUGCUACUGUGCAAGCCAAGCACUGGCCCUCUAAUGGUAAUUGAGGUGAAUGCAGUGCUACAAGACUCUGACUCCUCUCUCAUGACUCCUCUCUCAUGUACAAACUGCUCUGCCCUCUCAUCAGGUUUGGUACCCAUUAUCUAACUAUACCUAUAAGGAUGGUAACAAUUGCUAAUGGACAACAGCACAUGGUUAUUUACUGAGCAAUAACAUUGCAAGAGAUUGGGGAAGGUACCACACUGAGGAAAAGGAUGGGAGAGCGCUUUUGUGUGGUGUAAUUUUUCUAGCUUAAUUUGUUAUGCAUCUGUCAAUGUCAUAAUGGGCGUCAAUAUGAUUUAUAAACCAAAGAAUUUGUAUAUUUACUACUAUUGCAUAUCAUAUACUUGAUUACUUUUGUUAUACGUUUACUUGUUCAUUUGUUUGUUCCUGACAUCAAAUAAAGAUUUGAAUUGAUUUUGUCAAUGAAUUUUUAAGUGUUGCACAUUCAGAGAUGGUGCCAACCAAGGUGUAGUGUUUUUUUCUUGCCACUAGAUGGUGAUAGUUUCUUUUUUAAUUUUAU